ensembl:snoRNA SNORD31 Small nucleolar RNA SNORD31
UUGUGCAUAUGUGAUGAGUUCCUUAUUACCGCCCCAGUCUGAGAAUUCAUGACUGAUUGGUAUCCCCUCUGAUUACAC